rnacentral:rRNA from 1 species
AGUGAACGCUGGCGGUAGGCCUAACACAUGCAAGUCGAACGGCAGCACAGUAAGAGCUUGCUCUUACGGGUGGCGAGUGGCGGACGGGUGAGGAAUACAUCGGAAUCUACUUUUUCGUGGGGGAUAACGUAGGGAAACUUACGCUAAUACCGCAUACGACCUACGGGUGAAAGCAGGGGAUCUUCGGACCUUGCGCGAUUGAAUGAGCCGAUGUCGGAUUAGCUAGUUGGCGGGGUAAAGGCCCACCAAGGCGACGAUCCGUAGCUGGUCUGAGAGGAUGAUCAGCCGCACUGGAACUGAGACACGGUCCAGACUCCUACGGGAGGCAGCAGUGGGGAAUAUUGGACAAUGGGCGCAAGCCUGAUCCAGCCAUACCGCGUGGGUGAAGAAGGCCUUCGGGUUGUAAAGCCCUUUUGUUGGGAAAGAAAAGCAGCAGGUUAAUACCCCGCUGUUCUGACGGUACCCAAAGAAUAAGCACCGGAUAACUUCGUG